GAGCCAGUGGCCUAGUCUGGUGGGGCGCCACGCUGAUAACGUGGUGGUCGUCGGUUCAAAUCCGAUCUGGCUCA
rnacentral:tRNA from 4 species